rnacentral:rRNA from 1 species
AGUGAACGCUGGCGGCAGGCCUAAUACAUGCAAGUCGAACGGCAGCACAGCAGAGCUUGCUCUGUGGGUGGCGAGUGGCGGACGGGUGAGGAAUACGUGGGAAUCUGCCCAGUCGUGGGGAUAACGUAGGGAAACUUACGCUAAUACCGCAUGCGCCCUUCGGGGGAAAGCCGGGGACCUUCGGGCCUGGCGCGAUUGGAUGAGCCCACGUCGGAUUAGCUAGUUGGCGGGGUAAAGGCCCACCAAGGCGACGAUCCGUAGCUGGUCUGAGAGGAUGAUCAGCCACACUGGAACUGAGACACGGUCCAGACUCCUACGGGAGGCAGCAGUAGGGAAUAUUGGACCAAUGGGCGCAAAGCCUGAUCCAGCCAUG